rnacentral:rRNA from 1 species
UCGUCGAAGGUGGGACUGGCGAUUGGGACGAAGUCGUAACAAGGUAGCCGUACCGGAAGGUGCGGCUGGAUCACCUCCUUUCUAAGGAG